rnacentral:rRNA from 1 species
GGUUAAGCGACUAAGCGUACACGGUGGAUGCCCUGGCAGUCAGAGGCGAUGAAGGGCGUACUAAUCUGCGAUAAGCGCCGGUAAGGUGAUAUGAACCGUUAUAACCGGCGAUACCCGAAUGGGGAAACCCAGUGUGAUUCGUCACACUAUCAUUAACUGAAUCCAUAGGUUAAUGAGGCGAACCGGGGGAACUGAAACAUCUAAGUACCCCGAGGAAAAGAAAUCAACCGAGAUUCCCCCAGUAGCGGCGAGCGAACGGGGAGGAGCCCAGAGCCUGAAUCAGCAUGUGUGUUAGUGGAAGCGUCUGGAAAGGCGCGCGAUACAGGGUGACAGCCCCGUACACAAAAGCGCAUGUGCUGUGAGCUCGAUGAGUAGGGCGGGACACGUGGUAUCCUGUCUGAAUAUGGGGGGACCAUCCUCCAAGGCUAAAUACUCCUGACUGACCGAUAGUGAACCAGUACCGUGAGGGAAAGGCGAAAAGAACCCCGGCGAGGGGAGUGAAAAAGAACCUGAAACCGUGUACGUACAAGCAGUGGGAGCACAGGUUUACCUGUGUGACUGCGUACCUUUUGUAUAAUGGGUCAGCGACUUAUAUUCUGUAGCAAGGUUAACCGAAUAGGGGAGCCGGAGGGAAACCGAGUCUUAAUUGGGCGUUAAGUUGCAGGGUAUAGACCCGAAACCCGGUGAUCUAGCCAUGGGCAGGUUGAAGGUUGGGUAACACUAACUGGAGGACCGAACCGACUAAUGUUGAAAAAUUAGCGGAUGACCUGUGGCUGGGGGUGAAAGGCCAAUCAAACCGGGAGAUAGCUGGUUCUCCCCGAAAGCUAUUUAGGUAGCGCCUCGUGAAUUCAUCUCCGGGGGUAGAGCACUGUUUCGGCUAGGGGGCCAUCCCGGCUUACCAACCCGAUGCAAACUGCGAAUACCGGAGAAUGUUAUCACGGGAGACACACGGCGGGUGCUAACGUCCGUCGUGAAGAGGGAAACAACCCAGACCGCCAGCUAAGGUCCCAAAGUCAUGGUUAAGUGGGAAACGAUGUGGGAAGGCCCAGACAGCCAGGAUGUUGGCUUAGAAGCAGCCAUCAUUUAAAGAAAGCGUAAUAGCUCACUGGUCGAGUCGGCCUGCGCGGAAGAUGUAACGGGGCUAAACCAUGCACCGAAGCUGCGGCAGCGACGCUUAUGCGUUGUUGGGUAGGGGAGCGUUCUGUAAGCCUGCGAAGGUGGCCUGUGAGGGUUGCUGGAGGUAUCAGAAGUGCGAAUGCUGACAUAAGUAACGAUAAAGCGGGUGAAAAGCCCGCUCGCCGGAAGACCAAGGGUUCCUGUCCAACGUUAAUCGGGGGAGGGUGAGUCGACCCCUAAGGCGAGGCCGAAAGGCGUAGUCGAUGGGAAACGGGUUAAUAUUCCCGUACUUGGUGUUACUGCGAAGGGGGGACGGAGAAGGCUAUGUUGGCCGGGCGACGGUUGUCCCGGUUUAAGCGUGUAGGUGUGUGUUCCAGGUAAAUCCGGUUCACUUUAACACUGAGGCGUGACGACGAGGCACUACGGUGCUGAAGCAACAAAUGCCCUGCUUCCAGGAAAAGCCUCUAAGCAUCAGGUAACAUCAAAUCGUACCCCAAACCGACACAGGUGGUCAGGUAGAGAAUACCAAGGCGCUUGAGAGAACUCGGGUGAAGGAACUAGGCAAAAUGGUGCCGUAACUUCGGGAGAAGGCACGCUGACACGUAGGUGAAGUGAUUUACUCAUGGAGCUGAAGUCAGUCGAAGAUACCAGCUGGCUGCAACUGUUUAUUAAAAACACAGCACUGUGCAAACACGAAAGUGGACGUAUACGGUGUGACGCCUGCCCGGUGCCGGAAGGUUAAUUGAUGGGGUCAGCGCAAGCGAAGCUCCUGAUCGAAGCCCCGGUAAACGGCGGCCGUAACUAUAACGGUCCUAAGGUAGCGAAAUUCCUUGUCGGGUAAGUUCCGACCUGCACGAAUGGCGUAAUGAUGGCCAGGCUGUCUCCACCCGAGACUCAGUGAAAUUGAACUCGCUGUGAAGAUGCAGUGUACCCGCGGCAAGACGGAAAGACCCCGUGAACCUUUACUAUAGCUUGACACUGAACAUUGAGCCUUGAUGUGUAGGAUAGGUGGGAGGCUUUGAAGUGUGGACGCCAGUCUGCAUGGAGCCGACCUUGAAAUACCACCCUUUAAUGUUUGAUGUUCUAACGUGGACCCGUUACCCGGGUUGCGGACAGUGUCUGGUGGGUAGUUUGACUGGGGCGGUCUCCUCCUAAAGAGUAACGGAGGAGCACGAAGGUUGGCUAAUCCUGGUCGGACAUCAGGAGGUUAGUGCAAUGGCAUAAGCCAGCUUGACUGCGAGCGUGACGGCGCGAGCAGGUGCGAAAGCAGGUCAUAGUGAUCCGGUGGUUCUGAAUGGAAGGGCCAUCGCUCAACGGAUAAAAGGUACUCCGGGGAUAACAGGCUGAUACCGCCCAAGAGUUCAUAUCGACGGCGGUGUUUGGCACCUCGAUGUCGGCUCAUCACAUCCUGGGGCUGAAGUAGGUCCCAAGGGUAUGGCUGUUCGCCAUUUAAAGUGGUACGCGAGCUGGGUUUAGAACGUCGUGAGACAGUUCGGUCCCUAUCUGCCGUGGGCGCUGGAGAACUGAGGGGGGCUGCUCCUAGUACGAGAGGACCGGAGUGGACGCAUCACUGGUGUUCGGGUUGUCAUGCCAAUGGCACUGCCCGGUAGCUAAAUGCGGAAGAGAUAAGUGCUGAAAGCAUCUAAGCACGAAACUUGCCCCGAGAUGAGUUCUCCCUGAGACUUAAAGUCUCCUGAAGGAACGUUGAAGACGACGACGUUGAUAGGCCGGGUGUGUAAGCGCAGCGAUGCGUUGAGCUAACCGGUACUAAUGAACCGUGAGGCUUAACCUU